rnacentral:rRNA from 1 species
GAUGAACGCUGGCGGCGUGCCUAAUACAUGCAAGUCGAGCGAACAGACGAGGAGCUUGCUCCUUUGACGUUAGCUGCAGACGGGUGAGUAACACGUGUAUAACCUACCUAUAAUACUGGUAUAACUUCUGGACACCGGAUCUAAUACCAUAUAAUAUAUUGAACCGCAUUGUUCAAUGGUAAAAUACGGCUUUUCUGUCACUUAUAGAUGGUUCCGCGCCGCAUUAUCUAGUUGGUAAGGUAACGGCUUACCAAGGCGACGAGGCGUAGCCGACCUGAGAGGGUGAUCGGCCACACUGGAACUGAGACACGGUCCAGAGUCCUACGGGAGGCCGCAGUAGGGAAUCUUCCGCAAUGGGCGAAAGCCUGACGGAGCAACGCCGCGUGAGUGAUGAAGGUCUUCGGAUCGUAAAACUCUGUUAUUAGGGAAGAACAAAUGUGUAAGUAACUAUGCACGUCUUGACGGUACCUAAUCAGAAAGCCACGGCUAACUACGUG